AACAGGAGAGACAGGGAGAGUGUGCUACAGUUAAUAAUAAGCUCAUUAAUCAUGGGACACACACCCCACAGCAAACAGCAGAACCCGUAGAAGAACUGCGUCUGCGAUUGGGUUCGGCAUUGAGUGACUGAGAAGAGCAAUCAUCAUCCAGAUAGAGACAGAGAGAGAGUGAAUCUGUCAGUCCGUUCGUUCUGCUGUCACUCACUUUUCUGCAGCUCAAUCGUGUGCUAGAGUGAGGGCGCGGCGUGGCAGGGCGUAUCCCUUUGCAACAAUUUUGAUCAUUAAUUAGGUGGCAUUUACUGCGAGUCAACUGUGUACCCUGCCGGAUUGAAAUUGUAUGCCAGUGUGUAUGCCUGUGCCAUGCCGGAUUGCAGCCAUCAUUAAUCUCGUUUGAAAGCGAACAAAUUGAAGUAGAAAGAGCACAGAGGAGCACUGGGAGCGACCAUUUUCACUUCCGACACGGUCUCGUGCGGGCCUCGGAAAUAAAUCUAAUAAACUUCAGUUUACCGGCAUUUCCUUUUGGAGCAUUGGUUUUUAUGAGUUGUUAUAGAAUUUUGUACAAUUUCCACAUUUUUCAAUAUUUGUCUAAGCAGGCAGGCCAACAGCAAUACACGUAGCUGGAAGACGGCAGAGGUAGACGGUGCACCAAACAUCAUCAUCACCAGAGGCAACAUCAGUGGGAACGGCAUCAGAGGUACUUAGCGGCAGAAGCAGAAUCAACGGCAUCGUCAUAAUCGUCGUCGUCGUCGUCGUCGUCUCGUUGUCGGUUCCAUGACUCGAGUCAUUUAUAACAAGAAAGAAAAGAUAGUUCAGCGAAUGGUUUGGCACCCUAGAAAGCUGAGGGUUUAUAUUACUUCUGAUAUCAUGGACAGAAAACUUAUUGACUGGUAAUAUUUAUGCCAUGCAUGAAUUAGAUUUAGGCAGCUACUGAAGUAAGAUAUUAUUAUUCAGUAAUUUAGAUUUAAAUUUUAGAUAUAAAUUUGAAGUAUUUGAAAUGUUUAUUAUAUAAUUUAAUAACAAAUAUUUGAAUUGUAAUAUUUUGGCAAAUUCCCUUCAGACUUUUUGGUUAAGAAGAUCUGUUUAAAUGACCUCUCGUAGCUUUGAGAGCUAUGAGGUAUUCCGAAGGAAUACCAAAACCCAAGCCUAAAUCUAUUAUUCAGUUCAAAUGUAUCAAGAACACAAUUAUAUACUUUAUAAUAUAUUAUAUCUAUUUCAAGACUUCUGCAUAUUCCCAACUUCUGCCACAAUUAAACUGCACUCAGGACUACAUCUAGAUGUAGAAGACAUCGCCAACCACUAGAUAUCGUUCACAUUACAGAACACGUAGUAAAAAGCCUACUAAAUAAAAUUCAUCAAAAAAAUUGGAUCAGUUAAU
rnacentral:lncRNA from 1 species